CAGGUAUUCUCUUAAUUUUUAGAUAGUGCUCAAGAUGACAUUCAAGUUGGCUAUUAUUGGGUGCAAGAUUUACCAUGCUCUUAUUUUGCUUUUUUAGUCUAACCCGACAUUUGCUUAAUACCAUGAUCUGCUUCAAGCCUUGGAUGGAAAACUUUCAUUUUUUGUAUAUUCUGCAAUGAGAUGAGGGUAGUUUUUCUGAUGAUAUUUAGCAGUAAAUUGGGACUAAGGUGGCGUUUGUUUUUUAACUUAAUGACUUAAAGUGACUUAACUUAAUUAAUUAAGUUAAUUAGAGAUGUUUGUUUUUAUAACUUAAUGAGACUUUUUUGAUAAUUUUGACUUAAUAAAAUAAGCCAAUUUUUUUGGCUUUUUACUUAAUGGAGAAAUCUUAAUUAAGUCAAUUACUUACUAAUGUCAAAAAUAUCCCUGCUUUAUAAUUUAUUUUUCAUGUCUAUCCCAAAACUCACCCAUAGACAUUUACCCCACAUAAAAAUAUCCAUGUUUUUUCUUUCUUAUAUUAUAUACGAUAAAAUUUGAAAUUUAUGGUAUUUUAUAUAUUAAAAUUCCAAAAUAAUUAUGUAUUCACUUGAAUAUAGUUUUAUUUAUAAAUGUUAAAAUAUUAUGGUAUUUAAUAUAUUAUUUAUUUGACAUUCAAAUUUAAUAAGGAUACAAAUGUAAAAGUAUAUAUUUUCAGCUUUUUAAGUUAAAAAAACAAACAACUUAAUACUUAUUUUUCAAGAUUCAGACGAAAAAACAAACAUAUUAUUCAGAUUCAGAUAUUCAGAUCUAUUCAGAAUUCAGACUAAUUCAGGUCUAUUCAGAUUUCAGACAAAAAAACAAACGCCACCUAACUAAAGUAAUUUUCUUAAUGGCAUGUCUACUUCUCAGAUGAAUGACCGUCUGUUCAGACUCCCAAGUGAUGAAUUAACAACCACCGAUCUAUUCUGGGUGAAGAUGAUGACGUUGACACCAAGCCAGUGGAAUGACUAGGACUUCC
rnacentral:lncRNA from 1 species